UAGCGAUCUGUGUGUUUGUGUGUAAAGCUGGACAUACACUACACGCGAAAAAAAAAAAGAAGAGUUUUGUAAGAAAAGCAUAUUGUAUAUGUGUACGAAAUCAGCACAGUUUUAACACGAAACAGGAAAUGGAGCUGGGCGUAGCGCCGAUAUCGCGAUACGCUAACGUCUCGCGUUGCUACGUGUGCCAAGAGGGAUUUUUAUUUGGAAAAUUCACGCUGCGUUUCAAAUGUAGCUAUUCAAAUUCGAAUUCGAAUUCGAAUGUCACAAAAUUCUGGAAAAUAAACCAAGACUUAGUCGUGUAAUCAUUUACGAACUGGACUUCGGACAUUCUGUGAAUGAAAUGUAACGUUUCGGCUUGGCUGGAGAACAGGAACGGGUUAAUUUACGGGAAAUAUUUCGCUAAUCAUAGCAGAAGGAACUACGAUGUUUUCUCGGGUUUGUAACCUUUUAGUUUAACGCGGCUAGCUAAAGCUAGGUUCGCUAAAACGCUACGAACUACACGGACGUAGCUUAACUACAUCCACGUCUGUUAUCACCCCUGCUGCUAAUUACAGGUAAUAGCUAACCAAGAAAAAGUAUCGAUUAAGAGAAUGAAACAUAUCCGUGUUUAUCAGCGCUAGUUGUUUUGAUUAAAUUGUUCAUCUGAUGACACAAUUUUUAUUUGAAAAGUCAUGAAACCUAGCAAGCUAAUAUCUUGACUAGCGACACUACUUCUUCACUGUCGCGUCCGCGGAUAUAGCUAUAUCGUGUGUCAGGUUUAUACACAAACGUUUUGCUUUAACUUCUGACAGAAUCAAAUAUUUUUACCUCAAAGGGUUUCGAUCAUUUGCUAGGACGCUAUGAAAUCAGGCUAACAGUCCUGUAGUGUUUGUCCAGCUUCACUCUUUAGUCGAAGUGUAUGAACACUGAUCGGCCGCCAUGUGUUUUACUCCACGCGAGUUAGAAUUUUGAUGAAAAAAAUUCUCUGAUUUAACCGUUUUUCUUCGAGUAUGAAGGUAUAAAUCGACACUGAAGGUAGAGAAACUAACUCAGUCUUAUCGGAAGUGCCAGUAAGUACAGAAUUGAUUUUAUGUUUGUCACUGGAGUGCCUGUUCUCAUUGCCAUGAAUGAAGUUGUAUCGUUAUUUUAAAGCUGCCUUUAAAAAAAAAAAAAAAAAAAAAAAAAAACAGUUCCUGGGAAUUCUGGGAAACGGCCUUUAGUUGGCGUCCCUCGUUUGUCGUAAACGGUUUUGUUUUUUUCCUCGCAUUAAUACCUAAAAAUAAAUGGGUAGGCAUGUUUACGAUGUAUAAAUCAUGCUAAUUACAAACUCUUUAUCAUGAUUUACAAUAUUAUUACUAUAUUAUUUAUACAUUUAUCUGUUGUUUUUUGGUUUUUUUUGUCACACAGUUGACUAUUUAGAUAGACAAACCAAGCAGGUCAUCUGACACCCUGAUGAAAUGUGUGGAACCUGGUGAUAUUUCAAGCGAUCCGUGAUAUUAACGAUAUUUCAAUAAUAAUAAAAGUGUAUUGUUUAAUCGAUUAGCGGCGCAUGUCUAUAAACACGUAGCGCCGUACCAAAAGGCCAUCUACAUUCCUGUAACAUUGAUUUCCACUGGUUUUUUCAUUUUUCACUUUGAGGAGCUGAAAUACAACUACCGACGCGCUUAAAUCUGGUUUCAUCAGUUUAUUGUUGGAUAGAAGAGAAUGAAUGCAAUAAAUAAAUGAUUUAAAUUUUCAGACCUCCUUUUAUCAACAAAAUAUUCUCUCUCUUUUUUUUUUUUUUUAAACAACGUAGGUCUGCAAUACAACUUACAGAAUGUUCAUUUUUAAUCGUUAGGGUAAACGUCAAGCCAAGUAGUUUUUGUUUCUGGGUUUACAUUCAAAUAAAUUCAUGGAAUCGUAACAUGUUUUCCGUACAGCGCUGAAAAUCGGAAUUUUUUUUACGGAAACGCAGCGCGAAUGAUCAUAAAGUUGUGACCUGAAAAUGAUAUUGUUUUGUAAACCGGUUAUAAUCUCAGUUCUAUUGCAGGAACAGCUUGACAAAACAUGGUGUUCCCCUUAACACCAAAUGUAGUCGACCUGCCAAGACAUGCAUGUUGGCUGAUGUUUUUCAUUUUUUAUUUUUUCAUGACUAAGUGAAGAUUGUAACUACCAACUGUACAUGCCUAGAUCAACACACAGGCAUCAGAGUGUAUGAAACGUGCACUUUGUACAAUGCUAAACUGGAAGCUGCUCUUCCUGAGGUAAAGUGUGUGUAGUAGAGGAGGAGGAAGAACACUAAACUGUGCAGGACAGGGGGUUCUCCAGGAC
ensembl:lncRNA